GUAACCCUCCCCUGGGGAAGGGGCAUGGAGGGUAGGGAGCAGCUCUCAGAUGGUGAGGCUGAGUUCCAAGAGGCUCUUCUACCACCUGGGGCCUUCGGCCUCCAGUGUUCUAGGUACCUGGUCUUCAGCAGUAAACAACAUACAAACAGCCUUGCCCUCGUGGAGCUUACGUUCUAACAGAGGGAGACAGAAAAAAGAAGAAAAACUGAUGGCUUAUGAACUUCGUGAAAGAAGUAGGGGGCCCCAGACACUAUGCCUCUGUGCCUAAUGGAGAUGUUUACUCUGGCCCCUUCACAGAAUUACCCUAUCUUCUCUGCACAUCCCCCCAAAGUCUGUAAGAACUAUGCUGCUGGGGGAGUAUGUCAAUCCCGCCCAUUUGAUUGCUUGGGCAAGUGGACUCACUCUGCAGUACAGACCCAGCCAUCUAAUAUUUGGAAGGGAAGCCUCCAGCCUCAGCGUUAUUCAGCCAUAUUCACCAUGGGUACAGCCUCAGCCCUAUGCAUCCAGUUUAACGAUAGCCCGGCAAUGGGGUCAUUGUUCAGCAGUACUUUGACUACUGUUCCUCAGGUGGGACAGUCAGGAAUAAACCUCUAGAGGAAAGGAGG